rnacentral:lncRNA from 1 species
CUUAGCUAUUAUUUCAACGAUUAUAAUUGUUUUGUCAAAUAAAUUUACAAUCCCGCUUACUAAACGGACGCUCUAACCAACUAAGCUACAAGAGCUCACUAUAAUCUUAUAUGAAUAUACAUCAUAUAUACUUUUUAGUUUUAGUUUUGAUAAUUUAUUUUUACCAUAUUAAGAUUUGUUGAACAUUCUGCUCAUAUGUUCGUUACUAUCGGAUUUUCUAUUCAGCCAACAAGCACUCAUUUUAACUCAUGUUUUCUUGUUUUGAUUACUGCCAAGAUACUCAACAUUAUAAAACAAAUUUCAGGUGGUAUACUACAAAGGUAUCAAAUCAUAUUAUUUGGAAUUGAUAACCCAUGAAAUGAGUCAAA